rnacentral:rRNA from 1 species
AGAGUUUGAUCCUGGCUCAGGAUGAACGCUGGCGGCGUGCCUAACACAUGCAAGUCGAACGGAGUUACUUUGGUGAAGUUUUCGGAUGGAUCUGAUUUAACUUAGUGGCGGACGGGUGAGUAAUGCGUGAGCAACCUGCCCUUCAGAGGGGGACAACAGUUGGAAACGACUGCUAAUACCGCAUAAUGUAUUCGGAAGGCAUCUUCUGGAUACCAAAGGAGAAAUCCGCUGAUGGAUGGGCUCACGUCUGAUUAGCUAGUUGGUGAGGUAACGGCUCACCAAGGCUGCGAUCAGUAGCCGGACUGAGAGGUUGAACGGCCACAUUGGGACUGAGAUACGGCCCAGACUCCUACGGGAGGCAGCAGUGGGGAAUAUUGGGCAAUGGGCGAAAGCCUGACCCAGCAACGCCGCGUGAAGGAAGAAGGCCUUCGGGUUGUAAACUUCUUUUAAGAGGGACGAAGAAGUGACGGUACCUCUUGAAUAAGCCACGGCUAACUACGUGCCAGCAGCCGCGGUAAUACGUAGGUGGCGAGCGUUAUCCGGAUUUACUGGGUGUAAAGGGCGCGUAGGCGGGAAUGCAAGUCAGAUGUGAAAUCCAAGGGCUCAACCCUUGAACUGCAUUUGAAACUGCAUUUCUUGAGUGUCGGAGAGGUUGACGGAAUUCCUAGUGUAGCGGUGAAAUGCGUAGAUAUUAGGAGGAACACCAGUGGCGAAGGCGGUCAACUGGACGAUAACUGACGCUGAGGCGCGAAAGCGUGGGGAGCAAACAGGAUUAGAUACCCUGGUAGUCCACGCCGUAAACGAUGAUACUAGGUGUGGGGGGGACUGACCCCUUCCCGUGCGCAGGUAACACAAUAAGUAUUCCACCUUGGGAGUACGACCNGCAGGNUGAAACUCAANGAAUUGACGGGGGCCGCACAGCAGUGGAAUAAUGUGGGUUAAUUCGAAAG